CGCACGGGUGCGUAACGCGUAGCCAACCUACCCGAAUCUGGGGGAUAGCCCGCCGAAAGGCGGAUUAAUACCGCAUAAAACCACAGCCUGGCAUCAGGUAAUGGUUAAAGAUUUAUUGGAUUCGGAUGGGGCUGCGUGCCAUUAGCUAGUUGGCGGGGUAACGGCCCACCAAGGCGACGAUGGCUAGGGGAGCUGAGAGGCUGGUCCCCCACACGGGCACUGAGAUACGGGCCCG
rnacentral:rRNA from 1 species